UUUCAACAUGUUUUUUUAUUUGCUCACUUAACAUUCCAAACAAAAUGACAUUUUACACUAUUGCUUUUACUUAAGAAGUCAACUGCCUUAUCCAAAGUAGACAAAAAUCCCAAUUCCUUUAAGUGUCCAAGUGGUACUUUUCCCCCAGAGAAAGCUACUUGAAUACUUUAACAGAAACACAGAAUCAUCCUAUAAUAGUAAGGUAGUAGUUGGGUCUUACCUGUACUACAUUUAAAACUUUUCUCAUCAAAAACUGAAUACAGAAAAAAACCCCAAACAUCUCCACUCAUGAUUCCUCUCAGAUUUUUAACAAUUCCACUAAUCUUCAUUAAAAAUUGCUUUUGUAGAGAGGUGUAUAAAUAUGAAAAUGGAAAGUAAGCCUCCCCACACCUGUUCAUGGAGAAGUAGGGUAGACCAUUUAUCCUGAGAAAACAGCUGCUGGUCCCCAUUAUUUCAAGAAAGAUAAUAAACAUUAUGGCCCUCCAAGUCAAACCUCCUAUCUUCUGUGUCAUGAUCAUGUGUAACCUUUUCUGUUCUAGCUGCAAGCAUCUAUUUUUCAUACUCAUGUGAUGCUUCUCCUUUGAGCAAAUCUUUGAUGAACUUAUAUUUCACUGAAGGUUCUCAAAGGGGAGAAAGAGUGCAUGAGCAACUAUAAUACUGGAACAAAAGUGAAGAGUACAUAUAUUUUCACGUAGAAAAAAUACAUACAAAUCCAAGUAGCUCCUAAAAAUACGAAUCAGAUGGGAAUUUUUAAGAAAAAGAUUGUUUUCUAAACUGUAAAUGGUGCCAGUAAGACACUGAUUUUUAUAUCUAGCUACAUCACCAUAUUUAUGUACAAAGAGAGGUUGGUAUAGGUUCACUGAUACCCCGAUUUCUCCCAUUUCUUUAAAGAUUGUCUUUCAGACCCUAUUAAAACCAUGACUAUUAAUUUUUUAGACUACUUCCUGUCACUGACACACUCUCUUCAAUCUGGCACAUACAAAAAUUCAUUUCAACAUUUAUUUACUUUUUUGAUGCUAAAACUAACAUAAUUUUUUGGCUAUUUCAAUGCCACAAUAUUCUAUCACUACUUUGGCAUUUUACUAAUCAUUAUAGAAAUAGGUAAGAUUCUAAAUAUGGAUUUUAAGACUACAUAAAAUUCCAACUACAUAUGUCAAAAGGGAAAGUAGGAAGGUAGACGCAAUUAUAUUUCGGUUUUCAUGUAUAUCACUAUCAAGAGUCUGAAGGCCCAUGUUGCAUUCUAAUUUACAACUGACAUUGGUGACAUUUUGCUUGGCUUCUAGACUCAAACCUAGAAUUUAAUAGUGGCUUUUAGAUCAAUUUGCUGUAAAACUAUCUGAAAUGGAUGCAGAUUAUUUUAAGCAAAAAUAGAAUGAUACUUAUAACGUACAUAUGGAGGUGGAUUUAAAGAACAUAUUAUUGAGCAAACUUUAUACCGACAUUUUCUUAACAUCAUCAUAGUUUUUCUUCCUAGAAGGGAAAAAACUUAAUUACUUAAAAUUUUCCCCUUCCACACUUAAAGCAUUCUUAAGUAUACUGACAAAGGUUUAAAUCAGUUCAAGUUCUCUGCUGUUGGAGGAUCAAAAUACAAAGAUAAGCAUUUUCAGCACAAACAUCAAAAGAUGAACAGAAUUGCUUUCCAUGUAAUAGUUAAUACCUUAAUACAAUGAACUUGUCAGGAUUUUGCGAUAUAUCAUAUAGCUGGACAAUAAAGCAUGAAAAUAUUUUUUAAAAAUUAAGUGAAGACAUUCCCAAAGUUGAGAUGUCCCCUACAAGAAACCAAUUUUUAAAUUCCUGUAAUACUGAAAAGCUAAAUUGCCACUAUUGUAAUAAAAGGAACUAAAAUUUUAAAAUAAUUUUAUCUUAUUGAGAAACUAAUUUAACGCAUGCACUUUAAAUGUAUGUGCUAU
ensembl:lncRNA